rnacentral:lncRNA from 1 species
GACUCCGUGGGCGUAGGACCCUACGAGCCAGGUGUGGGAUGUAAUCUCAUGGUGAGCCAUUUUUUUAAGCCGGUCUGAAAAGCGCAAUAUUCGGGUGGGAGUGACCUGAUUUUCCAGUUGAGACAGGAUCUCACUAUGUUGCCUUGCAUGGACUGGAACUCCUUGGCUCAAGAAAUCUUCUUGCCUCAGCCUCCCAAAUAGCUAGGACUAUAUGCACAUGCUACUACACCUAGUGGAAAAUGAAGCACAGAGAAGUUCAGUGAUGGACCUCAGAUACUACCAGCAGAAAGCAGAAGAGCUAGGAUUUCAACUUAGGAUGUCUGGAUCCACAGUCUGCACUCCUACCCACUAUGCUACACUGCCUCUAACUAUGAGGAAGCAAGGGCAUUUUUUUUUUUCUGGUGACUAAAAAGAUAAGAGUUCAAGUAUGUGGCUCCUGAUAAUCUAACUUAUACAGCCUGGAAAAAUUGAUAGUUACUAUAUCCAGACUGUCUCAUUCAAUUAACAGUUUCUCAAGUAAUCUUCUAGUUACUGUCGUAUUUUAUCUGUAUCAACUUAGCAAACCAAGUCCAAAACAUUUUAUAUGUGUCUAUCUUUCCUGCUGUUCAUAUUAUUGAGUUAGCCAAAUAAAUUCAAUUUUUUUUCUACUGUUUGUUUCUCACAAAUUAUGACUGGCAUCUGUAUAUCUGGGAAGGUUCUACUGCAUUGCUGUAUUAUCACUAUAUAAUUAUAAGAGAUCACAGAGUGCAUUGAUGAAGGCCAUGUUGAGACAUGAUGAAACAGGGUCCAUUGUGACUGGGUGAAACUGUCUUCAAUUUCCUGGUCUAUAAAGCAGAG